GAUGGUAAAGCUCAAGUGGUAGAGUGUAUACUUAGCAUGCAUGAAGUCCUGGGUUCAAUCCCCAGUACUUCCU
rnacentral:tRNA from 1 species